rnacentral:rRNA from 1 species
UGGACGAAAGCCAGGGGAGCGAAAGGGAUUAGAUACCCCUGUAGUCCUGGCCGUAAACGAUGAACACUAGGUGUCGGGGGAAUCGACCCCUUCGGUGUCGUAGCUAACGCGUUAAGUGUUCCGCCUGGGGAGUACGCACGCAAGUGUGAAACUCAAAGGAAUUGACGGGGGCCCGCACAAGCGGUGGAGUAUGUGGUUUAAUUCGAUGCAACGCGAAGAACCUUACCAGGGUUUGACAUCCUGCGAACCUCUUAGAAAUUUGAGGGUGCCUUCGGGAAUGCAGUGACAGGUGGUGCAUGGCUGUCGUCAGCUCGUGUCGUGAGAUGUUGGGUUAAGUCCCGCAACGAGCGCAACCCACGUUUUUAGUUGCCAGCAUUUAGUUGGGCACUCUAGAAAGACCGCCGGUGAUAAACCGGAGGAAGGUGUGGAUGACGUCAAGUCAUCAUGCCCCUUACACCCUGGGCUACACACGUACUACAAUGCUACGGACAAAGGGCAGCAAACUCGCGAGAGCUAGCAAAUCCCAUAAACCGUGGCUCAGUUCAGAUCGUAGGCUGCAACUCGCCUACGUGAAGUAGGAAUCGCUAGUAAUCGCAGGUCAGCAUACUGCGGUGAAUACGUUCCCGGGCCUUGUACACACCGCCCGUCACACCAUGGAAGUUGGCCAUGCCCGAAGUCGUUACUCCAACC